AACUAGUUUUUCUUGUUUUUUAUUAUUUUUAUUUAAAUUUGUGUGUUUUUAAAUUGUUGCCCCUUUCUAUAAUAAAAGGCUAGAAAAAAAAAUAUGAAAGUUGUAUUUGUCUAUUGAUCGAGCUAAACAGACAAACACGAAAAAUUCAUUGACUCUGGUACGUUUAAUAAUGACUAAUUUUUUAAAGUAUUCUUGAAAAUCUAUAAAUUUAAACAAUUAUUUAUCGAAACAAAUAAACGAAAAAUAGAACUUUUGCAACAUAAAGUGGUUAAUAAAUUUUUAUUUGUUGCAAGCUUAGAAGAAAAAAUAUGACAAAAAUUAUUAAAUUUGUUUAUUUAUUAAUCCUCUUUAUUUUCUUAUUUCUCGUUUUACCGGAAGCUAGUGCAGCAAUAGCAAGGUCAAUAAGAUGUAAAGAAGAUUUUCAAUGUCUAUUCUAUAUAUGUACAGCUCCUUAUGUUGGAAAAUGCGUUGAUCGCAGAUGUUAUUGUCGUCCUCCAUUAGAAGAUUGGUAAGAGAUUGAUAUUGCAACCUCAAAAGACGAAGUUUAAAUCUCAAUUGAGACAGAUGUACAAUGAUCAUUAGAAUCACCGUUAUUUAUAAUAAAUUUAUCUUUCCCAAUAUUUUAUUUAAAUGUUUUUUUUCCUAUCAUGACAAUAAAAACAAUGUCACCAUAUGAUUAUAUUAUGUAUGUAUGAAAUAAACUGCACAAAUAUUGUUUUA